rnacentral:rRNA from 1 species
UACGGGGGGGGCAAGCGUUGUUCGGAAUUACUGGGCGUAAAGGGCUCGUAGGUGGCCAACUAAGUCGGACGUGAAAUCCCUCAGCUUAACUGGGGAACUGCGUCCGAUACUGGAUGGCUUGAGUUUGGGAGAGGGAUGCGGAAUUCCAGGUGUAGCGGUGAAAUGCGUAGAUAUCUGGAGGAACACCGGUGGCGAAGGCGGCAUCCUGGACCAACACUGACACUGAGGCACGAAAGCGUGGGGAGCAAACAGG